AGCGUACACGGUGGAUGCCCUGGCAGUCAGAGGCGAUGAAGGACGUGCUAAUCUGCGAUAAGCGUCGGUAAGGUGAUAUGAACCGUUAUAACCGGCGAUUUCCGAAUGGGGAAACCCAGUGUGAUUCGUCACACUAUCAUUAACUGAAUCCAUAGGUUAAUGAGGCGAACCGGGGGAACUGAAACAUCUAAGUACCCCGAGGAAAAGAAAUCAACCGAGAUUCCCCCAGUAGCGGCGAGCGAACGGGGAGGAGCCCAGAGCCUGAAUCAGUGUGUGUGUUAGUGGAAGCGUCUGGAAAGGCGCGCGAUACAGGGUGACAGCCCCGUACACAAAAAUGCACAUACUGUGAGCUCGAUGAGUAGGGCGGGACACGUGGUAUCCUGUCUGAAUAUGGGGGGACCAUCCUCCAAGGCUAAAUACUCCUGACUGACCGAUAGUGAACCAGUACCGUGAGGGAAAGGCGAAAAGAACCCCGGCGAGGGGAGUGAAAAAGAACCUGAAACCGUGUACGUACAAGCAGUGGGAGCACAGAGCAAUCUGUGUGACUGCGUACCUUUUGUAUAAUGGGUCAGCGACUUAUAUUCUGUAGCAAGGUUAACCGAAUAGGGGAGCCGAAGGGAAACCGAGUCUUAACUGGGCGUUAAGUUGCAGGGUAUAGACCCGAAACCCGGUGAUCUAGCCAUGGGCAGGUUGAAGGUUGGGUAACACUAACUGGAGGACCGAACCGACUAAUGUUGAAAAAUUAGCGGAUGACUUGUGGCUGGGGGUGAAAGGCCAAUCAAACCGGGAGAUAGCUGGUUCUCCCCGAAAGCUAUUUAGGUAGCGCCUCGUGAAUUCAUCUCCGGGGGUAGAGCACUGUUUCGGCAAGGGGGUCAUCCCGACUUACCAACCCGAUGCAAACUGCGAAUACCGGAGAAUGUUAUCACGGGAGACACACGGCGGGUGCUAACGUCCGUCGUGAAGAGGGAAACAACCCAGACCGCCAGCUAAGGUCCCAAAGUCAUGGUUAAGUGGGAAACGAUGUGGGAAGGCCCAGACAGCCAGGAUGUUGGCUUAGAAGCAGCCAUCAUUUAAAGAAAGCGUAAUAGCUCACUGGUCGAGUCGGCCUGCGCGGAAGAUGUAACGGGGCUAAACCAUGCACCGAAGCUGCGGCAGCGACACUGUGUGUUGUUGGGUAGGGGAGCGUUCUGUAAGCCUGUGAAGGUGUGCUGUGAGGCAUGCUGGAGGUAUCAGAAGUGCGAAUGCUGACAUAAGUAACGAUAAAGCGGGUGAAAAGCCCGCUCGCCGGAAGACCAAGGGUUCCUGUCCAACGUUAAUCGGGGCAGGGUGAGUCGACCCCUAAGGCGAGGCCGAAAGGCGUAGUCGAUGGGAAACAGGUUAAUAUUCCUGUACUUGGUGUUACUGCGAAGGGGGGACGGAGAAGGCUAUGUUGGCCGGGCGACGGUUGUCCCGGUUUAAGCGUGUAGGCUGGUUUUCCAGGCAAAUCCGGAAAAUCAAGGCUGAGGCGUGAUGACGAGGCACUACGGUGCUGAAGCAACAAAUGCCCUGCUUCCAGGAAAAGCCUCUAAGCAUCAGGUAACAUCAAAUCGUACCCCAAACCGACACAGGUGGUCAGGUAGAGAAUACCAAGGCGCUUGAGAGAACUCGGGUGAAGGAACUAGGCAAAAUGGUGCCGUAACUUCGGGAGAAGGCACGCUGAUAUGUAGGUGAAGUCCCUCGCGGAUGGAGCUGAAAUCAGUCGAAGAUACCAGCUGGCUGCAACUGUUUAUUAAAAACACAGCACUGUGCAAACACGAAAGUGGACGUAUACGGUGUGACGCCUGCCCGGUGCCGGAAGGUUAAUUGAUGGGGUCAGCGCAAGCGAAGCUCUUGAUCGAAGCCCCGGUAAACGGCGGCCGUAACUAUAACGGUCCUAAGGUAGCGAAAUUCCUUGUCGGGUAAGUUCCGACCUGCACGAAUGGCGUAAUGAUGGCCAGGCUGUCUCCACCCGAGACUCAGUGAAAUUGAACUCGCUGUGAAGAUGCAGUGUACCCGCGGCAAGACGGAAAGACCCCGUGAACCUUUACUAUAGCUUGACACUGAACAUUGAGCCUUGAUGUGUAGGAUAGGUGGGAGGCUUUGAAGUGUGGACGCCAGUCUGCAUGGAGCCGACCUUGAAAUACCACCCUUUAAUGUUUGAUGUUCUAACGUGGACCCGUGAUCCGGGUUGCGGACAGUGUCUGGUGGGUAGUUUGACUGGGGCGGUCUCCUCCUAAAGAGUAACGGAGGAGCACGAAGGUUGGCUAAUCCUGGUCGGACAUCAGGAGGUUAGUGCAAUGGCAUAAGCCAGCUUGACUGCGAGCGUGACGGCGCGAGCAGGUGCGAAAGCAGGUCAUAGUGAUCCGGUGGUUCUGAAUGGAAGGGCCAUCGCUCAACGGAUAAAAGGUACUCCGGGGAUAACAGGCUGAUACCGCCCAAGAGUUCAUAUCGACGGCGGUGUUUGGCACCUCGAUGUCGGCUCAUCACAUCCUGGGGCUGAAGUAGGUCCCAAGGGUAUGGCUGUUCGCCAUUUAAAGUGGUACGCGAGCUGGGUUUAGAACGUCGUGAGACAGUUCGGUCCCUAUCUGCCGUGGGCGCUGGAGAACUGAGGGGGGCUGCUCCUAGUACGAGAGGACCGGAGUGGACGCAUCACUGGUGUUCGGGUUGUCAUGCCAAUGGCACUGCCCGGUAGCUAAAUGCGGAAGAGAUAAGUGCUGAAAGCAUCUAAGCACGAAACUUGCCCCGAGAUGAGUUCU
rnacentral:rRNA from 1 species